AAUUCGUUAUCUAUUUAGUUCAUGUGUGUCAAAAUGUGUUGAUAAAUUUUCUAAAAUGUCUAAAAGGAAAUUAUUGCAAACAUUGUUGGCCUGAAGGAUGAUGUUACUCGUCCUGUCAGUUAUACAUCUGUUUGUCCAAAACACCGCUGCACUGGAAUGUUUCAGCUGUCAAGCUGUAAACGAUGCCAAUAGUUGCAACAACACACUUGUAUGUAAGGAUGGACAGGCUUGCUUUCUAAAUACUUCAUCGACAAAUCAACAUCACAUGAAUGUACUAGGUUGUAUCGACAAUCAGG